UCUCAUUUUGAACAUAUCUUUGUAAAGUCAUCACACGAUAUCAUCGAUCGAUAUGUGUCCGAAAAAGUGACAAAGCCAACAAAAAACCUCGCUAGUAAGGGGCAAUUGGCUUGUCUACAUUGUAUGCCCCGACGAUGGGAGAGUGAGGGCUUAAACAACCCCGGAAGAAGCAAAAAAGGAAAGUAAGACACAUAGUAGUAUAUAUACCGUCUUGUCACAAAUCUUGGCUGCUCAUUUUGAGUCGUCUUGUUGGUGAUGUUGGCGAACAAGGCAUGGAGGAAUCAGUGGAAUGUGUCGGUGAAUCAGUAGAGAGCGAUGAUGAGAAUGCUUUAGGGGACGAUGGAGAGGAAGUGGAUGGCGGUGAAGGUGUUGAUGAGAGGUCAAGUGAUGAGGGUGAAGGCGAGAGAGUUGGUGUUGAUGAAUCAUCAGACGAUGAUUCUGGCAACUUUCUCUUGUUCAUUCCUUUCUCUUCACCCCUAAAUCGAUCCUCGUUGAACAUGUAACUCUUCAAACGUUUUACGUCUGCCAAUUUCACCGGCUUCAAUAGGAAAUCUUCAGCGCCUUCUUCCAGACAUCUGUCGAUUCUAGCCAAAACAUUUUCAGAAGACAUGAUUACAACUGGAACUUCCCUAAAAGAUGAACCCUUAAUCUUUUUGAGCAAAUCAUAACCAGUCAUUCCAGGCAUACAAUAAUCUGUAAUUAUCAGAUCCACCUUCAAACCAUCAAUGGUAACAGAACUCUCUUCUUCAUCCAAUCCAAGAUAUUUCAAAGCUCUCAUUCCACUAUCCACAGUAGUCACUUUACAAGAUGUAUUUUUGAGGAGACGCUCAAUGACUAUUCUGUCCACAAGACUAUCAUCAACAGCAAGAACAUGAACUUCAUGAGUAGCCUCUGUUAACGGCAACAACUCAUCGUACUCCUCCACCUUCUCCGCCCUACGCCGCCGUGAAAACAUACCAUUUCUUGCCAUCUCACUCUACUAACAAAAUCAACAAAAAUGGAACAAAACCCACAAAUAUUUCACCAAAUUAAGAAAACCCCACAAAUUUUCUUGGAAAAAUUUGUGGGAAUUUGAAA
rnacentral:misc_RNA from 1 species